GACAAUUUGUCGGGAACGUCGUGCGUGAAAUGAACGUAAAUCGAGUUGGUCGGCGCCGGCGCAGUAUUUAGGCGAAAAACCCCACGUUUGCAACAUAUGCGGAAAAGGCUUCAGUACAUCCAGUUCACUGAACACGCACCGCAGGAUACAUACAGGAGAGAAGCCACACAAAUGUCCAGAAUGCGGAAAAUGUUUCACUGCAAGCUCCAAUCUCUAUUAUCAUCGGAUGACACACACGAAG